rnacentral:tRNA from 2 species
GGAAACAUAGUUCAGUUGGUUAGAGCAUCCACCUCAUAAGUGGACGGUCACAGGUUCGAAUCCUGUUGUUUCCA